GGUGCUCUUUUCUGCCACCCAUAUACUAAAAUUGGAACAAUACAGAGAAGAUUAGCAAGGUCCCUGUGCAAGGUUGACACACAAAUUCGUGAAGUGUUCCAUAUUUUU
ensembl:snRNA U6 U6 spliceosomal RNA